rnacentral:rRNA from 1 species
CAAUAGCGUAUAUUAAAGUUGUUGCAGUUAAAAAGCUCGUAGUUGGGCCUUGGACCUGGACAGGCGGUCCGCCUCACGGCGUGUACUGUCUUGCUGGGUCUUUCCUCUUGGUGAUCUGUUGUUUCGGCAGCAGGGAACCAGGACUUUUACUUUGAAAAAAUUAGAGUGUUCAAAGCAGGCUCGACGCCGGAAUAUAUUAGCAUGGAAUAAUAAAAUAGGACGUGCGGUUCUAUUUUGUUGGUUUUUGGAAUCGCCGUAAUGAUUAAUAGGGACAGUCGGGGGCAUUAGUACUCACAUGCUAGAGGUGAAAUUCUUGGAUUUUGUGAAGACUAACUUCUGCGAAAGCAUUUGCCAAGGAUGUUUUCAUUAA